AGCGAAAUUGCUUUCCAAAUAUGGGCUUUCUCAACUGAGAUUGGGCAUCGAAUUGAUUACAGUCAGCAGAAAUAGACUCGUAGAUGCGUUUCCUUUGCUCAAAAACAACAAAAAAAACGAAAGCACUCCCCAUAGCAGCACCGAGCAGACGCUCUUGUGCCAGAAUGCUAAUCAUAGUGCUGUACUGGUGAUUGGACAACAGAGGUUGAAUUGCAAAGAAUGGAAGGGAAGAAGAGCAGUUG
rnacentral:misc_RNA from 1 species